rnacentral:rRNA from 1 species
AGAGUUUGAUCAUGGCUCAGGACGAACGCUGGCGGCGUGCUUAACACAUGCAAGUCGAGCGGUAAGGCCUUUCGGGGUACACGAGCGGCGAACGGGUGAGUAACACGUGGGUGAUCUGCCCUGCACUCUGGGAUAAGCUUGGGAAACUGGGUCUAAUACCGGAUAUGACCACAGCGCGCAUGUGUUGUGGUGGAAAGAUUUAUCGGUGCAGGAUGGGCCCGCGGCCUAUCAGCUUGUUGGUGGGGUAAUGGCCUACCAAGGCGACGACGGGUAGCCGACCUGAGAGGGUGACCGGCCACACUGGGACUGAGACACGGCCCAGACUCCUACGGGAGGCAGCAGUGGGGAAUAUUGCACAAUGGGCGGAAGCCUGAUGCAGCGACGCCGCGUGAGGGAUGAAGGCCUUCGGGUUGUAAACCCCUUUCAGCAGGGACGAAGCGUGAGUGACGGUACCUGCAGAAGAAGCACCGGCUAACUACGUGCCAGCAGCCGCGGUAAUACGUAGGGUGCGAGCGUUGUCCGGAAUUACUGGGCGUAAAGAGUUCGUAGGCGGUUUGUCGCGUCGUUUGUGAAAACCCGGGGCUCAACUUCGGGCUUGCAGGCGAUACGGGCAGACUUGAGUGUUUCAGGGGAGACUGGAAUUCCUGGUGUAGCGGUGAAAUGCGCAGAUAUCAGGAGGAACACCGGUGGCGAAGGCGGGUCUCUGGGAAACAACUGGCGCUGAGGAACGAAAGCGUGGGUAGCAAACAGGAUUAGAUACCCCGGUAGUCC